AUCGCUUCUCAGCCUUUUGGCUUAGAUCAAGUGUAGCUGAGAAACAGAAAAUUACUUAAAAAUCUGUGGUUAUAAUACCCAGCUAGGAGAUAUUUUUCUGUCAUUAAAGAUUGCAUUCUUUUAAGUGGUAUGUAUGUCU
rnacentral:snRNA from 1 species